rnacentral:rRNA from 1 species
AUUGAACGCUGGCGGCAGGCCUAACACAUGCAAGUCGAGCGGAUGAAGGGAGCUUGCUCCUGGAUUCAGCGGCGGACGGGUGAGUAAUGCCUAGGAAUCUGCCUGGUAGUGGGGGAUAACGUCCGGAAACGGGCGCUAAUACCGCAUACGUCCUGAGGGAGAAAGUGGGGGAUCUUCGAACCUCACGCUAUCAGAUGAGCCUAGGUCGGAUUAGCUAGUUGGUGGGGUAAAGGCCUACCAAGGCGACGAUCUGUAACUGGUCUGAGAGGAUGAUCAGUCACACUGGAACUGAGACACGGUCCAGACUCCUACGGGAGGCAGCAGUGGGGAAUAUUGGACAAAGGGCGAAAGCCUGAUCCAGCCAUGCCGCGUGUGUGAAGAAGGUCUUCGGAUUGUAAAGCACUUUAAGUUGGGAGGAAGGGCAGUAAGUUAAUACCUUGCUGUUUUGACGUUACCAACAGAAUAAGCACCGGCUAACUUCGUG